rnacentral:misc_RNA from 1 species
GGAAAUGCAAGGGGCCUGAAAAGGGCAAGCCCAGCCCCAGAAAAAACCAUGUACUUGCCUUGUUGCCUUAGCCCAAAUUUUGGUUCUCACGAAUGUGAAGACUGGAGAGCACUUGUUUUGCUGGGAAUUGAGAAACAUUUGCAGGUUCAAUUACUAGGCCCUAAUUUCAGUGACACUCUUGCAGGAAAUUCUGGUACGACUCAGCACCGCGCCAAUGGCUAGUGACUCACGCUGCUACUAAUGGAGAGUUACUCGCCAUCCAACAAAAAUAAGCGCCUCAAAACUCUAAUCUUCAAUUCUAGAUGCACAAAUAAAUAAGAAACCAAUCAGUACGACUCGCAACGAGAACAUGGGAAGAAGAAACUCAAUCGUAGCUAAAUCAUUCAGUCUCAAUGAACGGUGAGGAUUCAGUUACAAUCCCACGGUGUGAACGACUUUGUGAGAGGUUAAUAGAUACUAGGCACCCACCUUGCAAGCCGGUUUUCCUAUCUAAGUGGCCCAUCUCACGUAGUGUAACCUUUAGCUAUUCCUGUGCGCAACAGUUCGAAUCUGCUGUCUAAUCAUGGUAGCGCUAUCAGAGGCUAAAUCGAUAGCUGCGAACAAUUUUUCUGAGUUGUGUCCCGAUGCCCCACGUGGAAACGCCGGUGCCAAGUAAGUUUUCCAUUCAAUUUCUGUUUAAGAAUUACCGUGUUUUGAAGUAUAAAUCCUUUUGAAUUGCUCUGGAUUUUUUCCCCCUUCAGAUAAUGAUUAUGUUCACCUGUAGAAGUAAUUAAGUGUUUGUGGCCUGAAAAAUCGCGUUGAUUUGCUUUUUAGGAUUUGUUUAGAAACGGGGAUUAACUUCUUAAUGAUUUUUUAUUUUUCGUUUCCAUCAAUGACUAUGAGCCUUAGCUUAAUUACUGGUACUCUGCGUAGUCCCAAAGUGCUGUAAGAUUUAAGUUCAAGCCUCAAUUGAAGCUAAUUAUAUGUAAAAAAUAAAAAAAAUAAUAAAAAGAGAGAACAGAUGGUAAGAACAAUACAGAUAGAUCAUAUACUAGAAAUAUACAUGCACAAGUCAGAGAGAGGGAGAGGAAGAGAUUGAACUCUUAUGGAUGUAUUUAUUGCAAAAUGCGUUAUUUCUUAAUUCCCAGUUCAAUUUUCUUGCUACAGAAGAUGAGAUUGAGUGGAAUUCAGGGGACUUAAAUCACUCUUCCAGCAGCAGCACAAACUCCAGUCUCCACCUUCUUAUCAAUCAUAGGAAAUUGGAGACCGUCCAUCUCUUAAUUCAGAAUCUUACACAGAUGUUAUCUGCUCGGGAGGAACUCAUCAUUGAUGAAAUUACACCCCACUUCAGUAGCCAAAAUCCAGACCAUCAAUACAUUUCAGAAAUCCUAUUAGCAUCAGGUCUCCUUAGAGAUUUUGAAUCUGGUUUUACAGCCAUUCACCUCCGACAAACAGGCUACCCAGUCAACCCUAACUUAUUCCUUGCUCUGGAACAAGCUAAGGCAAAAACCACGCAUUCAAAUGAUGAAGAGAGCGGAACAAAGACUUUCCAGCCAGAACAUCAUAUCAAAAUCCAAA